GCCCGAGCUCCGGUCACUGUAGCCACCACUCUGACUCCGGCUGCAGGAUAGACAGACAUGAGUACCGGAGGAUACCAGUCUACUUUUGCUCUGCCACAGCAGGCUGAGCCGUCAGCCCCCAUGCCAGCUGUCCCUUCUGGGGACGCAAGGACCCCAGCAGGGAAGAAGUGAGUACCAGCUCCCACCAGCAGUGCCUCACAGCAUCCCCAAAGGGCCAACUCACGGCACUCACCUCUAGAGAACCCACGGCCCCGUCCUCGGCCCCCACGGAAGAAGCCCCGGCCCCCGGCAGAGCCACCACGGUACCCACGGGAUCGGUUGUCUGACGACUUGCCUGCCUGGUCUACUCGGAUCUGUCGCCCAUCUACAGACUGGAGACCAGCGGAUGGCACAGGUUAGUGGGUGGGUGCCCCAUCCUCAGGAUGGGGCUCCCGCUCAACACCCUGAUCCUCACCUUCCCGUUCAUGGCCAUCAUGGCAUCCUUGGCGUCGUCAAUGUUCUCAAAGGUGACAAACCCAAAUCCCCGAGAUCUCUGGGUCUCCCUGUCUUUCACAACCACCACUGUGCAGGGGAGAGAGGUCUGCAGUCAGCACCCAGCUGUACCUACAGUCAGGAGGAGCACAAGCCAGCCCCACCCGGGCCGCCGGCCCAGCACCAGCCUCACCUUCAGAGAUCUGUCCGUAUUUUGAGAAGACCUGCUCCAGCGACUGCUCAUUGGUGUCAAAACUCAGCCCUCCAACAAAAAGCUUGCCUUCGUCUGAUGCCAUGGCGGCCUGUGGCAGACACCAAUGAAAUCCUCAACAGGGGUCAUCUCUCACCACCUCUCCCCGCUUCCUAUUUUAUGUAAAUGACAUGUGUUUUUUAGGGGAAAUAUUAGAAAAUCAGGUUAUUGUU